UGAAUACGAGAUGCUACGGCGUCGAAGCAGUCUAUGUCAUACUUCCAAGAAAAGCUCGCACUGUCAUAAACAAAUAAUGCCUGUACCAUAACCGACACAGGUGGGUAGGUAGAGUAUACUAAGGGGCGCGAGAUAACUCUCUCUAAGGAACUCGGCAAAAUGACUCCGUAACUUCGGGAGAAGGAGUGCCUUAUUUAUAAGGUUGCAAUAACAAGAUCCAAGCAACUGUUUAUCAAAAACACAGGUCUCCGCUAAGUCGUAAGACGAUGUAUGGGGGCUGACGCCUGCCCAGUGCCAGAAGGUUAAAGAAGUUGGUUAGUGUAUGCGAAGCUGAUGACUGAAGCCCUGGUGAACGGCGGCCGUAACAAUAACGGUCCUAAGGUAGCGAAAUUCCUUGUCGGGUAAGUUCCGACCCGCACGAAAGGCGUAAUGAUUUGGAUACUGUCUCGGAGAGAGGCUCGGUGAAAUAGACUUGUCUGUGAAGAUGCGGACUACCUGCACCAGGACAGAAAGACCCUAUGAAGCUUUACUGUAACUUGAAAUUGGAAUUGGACUUUGCUUGCGCAGUAUAGGUGGGAAGCGUUGAAGAUAUUCUUGCGGGAGUAUUGGAGCUAUCAGUGAGAUACCACUCUUGUAAUGUUAGAUUUCUAACUUUGAACCAUAAUCUGGUCAAAGAACAGUUUCAGGUGGGCAGUUUGACUGGGGCGGUCGCCUCCCAAAUGGUAACGGAGGCGUACAAAGGUUUCCUCUGAACGGAUAGAAAUCGUAUCUAGAGUGUAAAGGCAUAAGGAAGCUUGACUGUGAGACCUACAAGUCGAGCAGGGACGAAAGUCGGUCUUAGUGAUCUGACGGUACUGAGUGGAAAGGCCGUCUCUCAACGGAUAAAAGUUACUCUAGGAUAACAGGCUGAUCUCCCCCAAGAGUUCACAUCGACGGGGAGGUUUGGCACCUCGAUGUCGGCUCAUCGCAUCCUGGGGCGGUAGUACGUCCCAAGGGUUGGGCUGUUCGCCCAUGAAAGCGGUACGCGAGCUGGGUUCAGAACGUCGUGAGACAGUUCGGUCCAUAUCCGGUGUAGGCGUUAGAACAUUGAGAGGAGCCUUCUUUAGUACGAGAGGACCGAGAAGGACACACCGCUGGUGUACCAGUUAUCGUGCCAACGGUAAACGCUGGGUAGCUAUGUGUGGAGUGGAUAACCGCUGAAAGCAUCUAAGUGGGAAGCCCACCUCAAGAUGAGUAUUC
rnacentral:rRNA from 1 species